UUUGGUUGAGUAAGGGAAGGCUUUUAUUCAAGUGGGUCAAGAGGUUUAAAAUCCAUGAUCUUUUAAAGUUGUUUACUCUCAAAACAAGUAGCCUUGACAUUGCACAUAAUAUAUCUAAGAAAUGGACCAACUCAUGCAUACAAUGCUCAAUCUUCAUUGUUCUACUAUUUUCCCAAACAUACAGGUUACACAAUCACUUCCCAAUGUCAAACCCAACUCCCAUCUCUCACCAAAAGAUCCCAAGAAUACUUUGCACAUAAAACUUUUUUUCUUUGAAAUCUAUAAAGGAUUUUCUCAACUUCUAAACAAAUCUUAGCUCUAAACAACUUUGCUAGCCUUUUUUUU
rnacentral:lncRNA from 1 species